rnacentral:rRNA from 1 species
GCGGAAGGAUCAUUAUUGAAUACGAUUGGUACUGAUGCUGGCUCUUAACUGAGCAUGUGCUCGUCCAUCUAUUUAUCUUCUCUUGUGCACAUUUUGUAGUCUUGAACGUACCUCUCGCAGUCAAAUGCGGUUUGGGAGCUUGGGCGCAAGCCCUUCUCCUGCUUCUUCAAGGCUAUGUUUUCAUAUACACUAUAAAGUUACAGAAUGUCUUUUAACGAUUGCGCUUGUCGUAGUCAUUAAACCUAUACAACUUUCAGCAACGGAUCUCUUGGCUCUCCUAUCGAUGAAGAACGCAGCGAAAUGCGAUAAGUAAUGUGAAUUGCAGAAUUCAGUGAAUCAUCGAAUCUUUGAACGCACCUUGCGCCCUUUGGUAUUCCCGAAGGGCAUGCCCUGUUUGAGUGUCAUUAAAUUAUCAACCCUUGCUCGCUUUUACCGGCUUGAGUUAGGCUUGGACUUGAGGGCUUGCUGGCUUCCCUUCAGUGGACGGUCUGCUCCCUUUAAAUGCAUUAGUGGGAUCUCUUGUGGACCGUCACUUGGUGUGAUAAUUAUCUAUGCCACUUGACCUUGAAGCAAACCUUAUGGGAACCCGCUCAUAACUGUCUUCGGACAGCUUUUGACAUUUUGACUCUCCAAAUCAGGUAGGACUACUCUGCUGAACUUAAGCAUAUCAAUAAGCGGAGGAAAAGAAACUAACCAAGGAUUUCCUCCUAGUAACUGCGAGUGAAGCGGGAAAAGCUCCAAUUUAAAAUCUGGCGGUUCCUGUA